CAGAAUGUAGUCUAUACAAAACAUUUCGCUUACAUCGAAAAAACACCUAUUCAACCAGGUCAUUCUGA
rnacentral:tRNA from 1 species